rnacentral:rRNA from 1 species
CCUACGGGUGGCAGCAGUGAGGAAUAUUGGUCAAUGGGCGGGAGCCUGAACCAGCCAAGCCGCGUGAGGGAAGAAGGUACAGCGUAUCGUAAACCUCUUUUGUCAGGGAACAAAGGCGGGGACUCGUCCCCGGAUUAGGGUACCUUAAGAACAAGCAUCGGCUAACCCCGUGCCAGCAGCCGCGGUAAUCCGGGGGAUGCGAGCGUUAUCCGGAUUUAUUGGGGUUAAAGGGUGCGCAGGCGGGCUGUUAAGUCAGCGGUAAAAGCCCGGGGCUAAACCCCGGCGAGCCGUUGAAACUGGCGGGCUGGAGUGGGAGAGAAGUACGCGGAAUGCGCGGUGUAGCGGUGAAAUGCUUAGAUAUCGCGCAGAACCCCGAUUGCGAAGGCAGCGUACCGGCGCCAAACUGACGCUGAGGCACGAAAGCGUGGGUAUCGAACAGGAUUAGAUACCCGAGUAGUC